GCAGUGGCGAUUCCAUGGUAGAAUUUUCACCUCCUGUGCAGGAGACCUGGGUUCAAUUCCCAGCCAAUGCA
rnacentral:tRNA from 1 species